AGAAGAAGUCCUGUUAAUAGCAGAACAAUAAAGUGAAGAGUCACAGGUUUCUGUUCCUGAGAAUCAUCCUCAUUCAAAAUAAAUCACUGAUAUUUUAUUCUACUUGUUUAACACAUGGCUCCAUGUUACUACCUCAGUGAACACCCAGUAUCAAGCCUUGACUGACAAGUCUGUAAAACCAAGCCGACAUGCUGGAUUCUAUGGCAUGUAAGACUGAUAAGACCACUUCUGUUUACAGAGAGCUUACAAUCAAUAUAGAAAAAAAAGUUAUGCCCAAAGAAAUUUUAAUUAAAGGAAGAAGUUACCACUGCUUGGCUGACAUAAGAUUCUUUUCAUGGAUGUUCCUGAUUUACCAUUCCAAUCAUCUCUCUUCAGUCUCCUAGAUUAAGAUGUACUCUUAGCAAAAUCAGUCCUUUACUAAAUCUGAAGUUCGUUUUGUUCUUUUCCGCCUUCACGC